rnacentral:rRNA from 1 species
ACACUCCUGCGGGAGGCAGCAGUGGGGAAUAUUGCACAAUGGGCGCAAGCCUGAUGCAGCCAUGCCGCGUGUAUGAAGAAGGCCUUCGGGUUGUAAAGUACUUUCAGCGGGGAGGAAGGCGAUAAGGUUAAUAACCUUGUUGAUUGACGUUACCCGCAGAAGAAGCACCGGCUAACUCCGUGCCAGCAGCCGCGGUAAUACGGAGGGUGCAAGCGUUAAUCGGAAUUACUGGGCGUAAAGCGCACGCAGGCGGUCUGUCAAGUCGGAUGUGAAAUCCCCGGGCUCAACCUGGGAACUGCAUUCGAAACUGGCAGGCUAGAGUCUUGUAGAGGGGGGUAGAAUUCCAGGUGUAGCGGUGAAAUGCGUAGAGAUCUGGAGGAAUACCGGUGGCGAAGGCGGCCCCCUGGACAAAGACUGACGCUCAGGUGCGAAAGCGUGGGGAGCAAACAGGAUUAGAAACCCCGGUAGUCCC